GAUGAACGCUGGCGGCGUGCUUAACACAUGCAAGUCGAACGGAAAGGCCCAAGCUUGCUUGGGUACUCGAGUGGCGAACGGGUGAGUAACACGUGGGUGAUCUGCCCUGCACUUCGGGAUAAGCCUGGGAAACUGGGUCUAAUACCGGAUAGGACCACAUUUUGGAUGGUGUGGUGGAAAGUUUUUCGGUGUGGGAUGAGCUCGCGGCCUAUCAGCUUGUUGGUGGGGUAAUGGCCUACCAAGGCGUCGACGGGUAGCCGGCCUGAGAGGGUGUACGGCCAAAUUGGGGCGGGGAAACGGCCCAACUCCCGCGGGGGGGGAGAAGGGGGGAAGUUUGCACAAUGGGCGAAGGCCUGAUGAAGGGGGGCCGGGGGGGGGAUGAGGCCCUUGGGUUUUAAAACCCCUUUGGCAAGGGAGGAGGCGUUUUUGGGAGGGUACCGGGAAAAGAAGCACCGGCUAACUACGU
rnacentral:rRNA from 1 species